GGGAUGAAUGGGAUGCCCAAUACCAGGGCUUUGACCUGAAUGUGUUGGCCCAAAGUCAUUGAUCAUGGCAUGAGCUAGAGGUGGCAGGGGAGGCGCCACACCUUCGUCAACUGCUGAUGUACGAGGAGACAGUAAUAUGGCUUCAUGAGUAAUUGCAUCACUUGUGGCCAUCAUGUCAUGAUGAUCAUCAUGGAACUUACCUCCGUGCUUAUUAGUUUCCUUUUCAUGGAUUUUGUUAUGAGUUUGGAGUGUUUGAAAUUCGUUAUUCUUCCCUACAAGCAAACGCCUUCCCUCAAUGAACCAAGUUUCUUCGGUGAAAAUCAAAACAAAGAAAAGACAGGCGGAGAUUAAAAUUUUGUUCUGGGCCAUGGAUCAGGCUGAGAGAUUGAAAGACAACUGGUUAUACAAGGAGAGAGCGAGAGAGAUGGGAAGAACCAAAUAAGCUAAAUUAAGCAAACUGAUAGUUGCCUAGCUUGAGACUAGAGUAAUUAUAUCUGCUAAGCAUGUAAGUUUCCAAGAAACUUAAAGCAACCUCAGCAUAUGAAUUGCCUAAAACCUUAGCUCUGGCGAUAUUUAUAGAGUUUACAAGGAGAGAUCUAGAGAUAAUGGGACAAGUGGAACGUCCAUGCAUGUGCAAACGCAACAACAAGAGCCUACAGUAAAUGUAAUGGGCCGGCCAUUUGAUGGUGGAAGAUUAUUUUCAACCGUAUGGGUUUGAGGAAAUCAAGGAUCUGUUAUAAAUGGGCAUGGGAUCACAAAAUUGUAUACUUCUUCUACCGGAUGAAACUAAAAAUCAAGACCAGUGAAGGCUGUAGUUGGUCAAUUUGAGUAUUUUGUACAGGAACUGAAUUUGCAUAUGGGCAAACUAGUAGUGGCAAGACUUUCACCAUGAAUGGCUCUAAAACUGAUCCAGGGAUUAUUUGCUAGGUAGUUAAAGAUAUAUUUGCAAAAAUUCAGAUGAUAUCUGACCGUGAAUUUCUGAUUCGGGUUUCCUAUAUGGAAAUUUAUAAUGAAGAAAUUAAUGAUCUUUUAGCCGUAGAGAACCAGAAAUUGCAAAUACAUGAGAGUUUGGAGGUCUAAGGGAGGAAAUUGUUAGCAACGCCGAGCAAGUGUUGAAGCUCAUAGAUUCAGGAGAAGUUAAUAGGCACUUUGGUGAGACUAAUAUGAAUGUUCAUAGUAGUAGAUCACACCAAUAUUUAGCCAGUGAUUGAAAGCAAGAUGAAGGACAAUGGUGGUUUUUUCAAUGAAAAAUGACGGAUAAAUUCCGAGGUUGGUGAGAUAAAUGUUUUAACCUUUGAGAAGAAGGGUUUGCGGGGAAAAGUUGCACUUCACUCUUGGGGCUGAAUAGUACCAGUGCACUGCCUGUUGUCUCAUUUUGUGUUUCCAAGACAUACGUUGCAUCCGUGUUGGAUCUGAUUGCUUUGAUGAGUGCUUUAAAGGGAUUUAAAGUGUAUACAUGCAACAUAUGGGGGUGGAUCUUCCUACUGCAUAGCAAAUGAGCAAUUGUACCAACUCUGACCAUGGAGCAAUGAUGGGCCCGAGAUGCACUUAAUACAAAGAUUAAGGUAACUGCCUAAAAUUGAUUUUAUGAUCAGUUCAUUUUCCUCUUUUAAAUAUUAGUUUUGAGGGUUCAUCUUCCAAUUACUUGAAUAUAUUAUAAUUGGGUUUCACUGUUUUCAUGAUCACCGGAAAAUACGGAUGUACUGACUUCCAUGCAAUAGAUCAGAAGAGUAAUUGAAUAGUGAUAUGGCCAUUCAAGCUUGGGCAAUCACAAAAAUAGGCAUCAGUUUUCUAUAUUCGUGCUCGCCACCUUUGUUAAUCAAAUGCCCAAAGUGCCCAAGUGUGGGUGGAAAUGUCGAAACAUAAGUCUCACUUAAAAGUUUCAAUGUGUAACUUGGUAUAGAUUAUUUUAGUGAUACUACAAUCUUCAAAUCAAUUAUAUAAUAGUGAUGAUAGUUUAUUAUGUAAUUAAUAGCUCAGCUUGUAUUUGAGAUAUGAUCAAUAAGAAUUUCCACCCAAUGAUAAUUUAUA